rnacentral:sRNA from 1 species
CUGCCUCCUGAGUGCUGGGAUUAAAGACAUGUGCCACCACCUCCCACCAGCAAGAAAUAUUUUUUAAGAAUAUAUAGAAAUGAUAAGUCCCAAGUCUGAUGAGACAUCCUGUUUCUGAGAACACAUACACACCUUCUUUUUAAAAGCAUCUUUGCAUUAGUGUGGGAUUUAAUAUUGGCUUUUCCCCAUUUUCAAAUAAACCAAAUGUGAUCAUCCCAAUAAAAGACAACCAGCUUGUACAAAGAGUAUCACACUCAGCCUGGCUUUUUUCCCUUAAAGGCAUUUUCUAAAUUGUAAUGCAGAUGAUACAGCCCUGUCUUAUGAUAUUGAAGAAACCUCAUUGUGUACAGAUGGCAUUGCCAGGGUAGAAAGAACACUGCAGGAGGAACCCAGAAGUCCUGCUGCAGAUUCCAUCCAGUCAACAGUUAAACUGUCCUUCUGCAGGGCAGUAAGAAACCUGAACUGAAGUGAGAAUUUAUUUCUUCAUUGAAUAACAAGGACCCACUAAUUUCCGGAUCUCCAUCAAGUCAAUAUGGCGUAAUGAAAAAGAAAUUGGAUCUGAAGUUUCAAGAUUUAUAUUCCAUUCAUAAUUCAAAGACAUCUGGUACCACAGGACAUCACUCACUAGCUUGUGACCUGACACAGGUGGUUUAACUCUCCAAGGAUUUGUACCUUACCUACCUCAUAAAACUUUGAAUAUUUAAGAAAUAAAAUAUCAGUAUUAACAUUGGUGCCAGAGACCAUGGAAGGCAAAUAACUUGUGUGUAAUGUUUACAAACACACAGGCUUGAACGUCAUCAGAAGACCAUAUAAGUACUUGCUCUCCCAAUUAUAGCAUUCUUUCCAAUUGCAUUUAGAAAUUGAUGUGUCUAAUAAAAGAUUUCUUUUUUUUUCUUUU